AUCUCAUGCCUUCACAAUCGUCACGUCUCUCUCUUGCUCACCCCCAAUUGCUUCUAAACCCUUGAGAGCGAUUUCGAUUCAGAGCGAUUUUGUUUCAGAUUAAUCUUUGAAAUUCAUACAGAUUCAUCAGAGCGAUAUCGAUGAAGCUCCACUCUCUCUUUCUCUCUCUCUCUCUCUCUCUCUCUCGAUUCAUCCUUUGUUCUCUGCGAUAUCGAUCUGAAGCUCUGGGAGAUUGUGAAGAGAGAAGAGGGGUUGGUUUCGAUCGCAGAGGAAAUGAUCUCAGGAGAGGUUGUGCUUGAUUUCUCAGAUCGGUCUCAGAGCGAUUUCGAUUUUGAAGUUCUCUCUCUCGAUUUCGAAGUUUCACCACGAGUCUGUGAUGUUCAGGCACCGAUACAAGUGGCACAAGGCAGAACUGAAGAGCUGCUCCUACAUCAAUGCCAAAAUAGCUACUUCUUCCUGGAGUUCCAGUGCUUUUAAUACUCGCAGGAUUUGUCGUAUGGUGUACUUACAUGAUAUUCAUGGUUAAUGACACACCAAAAGGUUGCAGAUAUAUUGGACAGACAUGGAUAUUUCUGGCCUCUUAACUUCUGCUGGUAUCAAUACAGG